rnacentral:lncRNA from 1 species
GGAGAAGCUACUGCUAAAGGACAGUGGCCAUUCUGUGUGGGAAUGGGGCAAGGGUGGGGCUCAAGUCCCAUCUUGUCUUAUGUAGGACUCAGAGGUGCUCCAGAUGACUAUGGGCUGACAGGUGCACCCUCUGCAUGCACACUUGGGAAUCGUAUGACCCUUAGACUGGCUGGACAGCAAGACUCUUGAGAGCCCCUGUUUCUGCUGACCCAUCUAUGGAAUCACAGGCAGGGGUGGCUUUUAUGUGGGUCCUGGGAUCCAAACCCAGUUUCUGCAGCACCUUAUGAAACCUCAUUGUGAAUAUUCGACGAACUUCAGGACGGCGCGAUGCCAUUAUGUCAAAGACUGGCCCACCGCUGCCAGCAGCUUUCAAAGGUUUGGGGGUCUGCAGAGUCCCUGAAGAAUUUUGGCUUGAAGCCCUCUUUCUCCUUCGUUUCUGAAUCCAAUGGUAGAUUAGGCGAAAUGGAAUCCGUAUGGUUCUGAUUCAUUUACACUUAACUCAUCAAAAUGUUCCUUUUUAUGAGCUAUUUGAUGUCCAGAAAGCCUUUUGAGUAGAUUUUAUAAGCCUUUUAAAGACUUUUCUCUUAGAAACAGGCGGUUGCAUUUUGCCAAGAAUAAACAAACUUGAACCUCAGAAGUGCAUCGCUUGCCAAGGAUCCCGGGGCCAGAGGACAAGCUUACGAAGGCACCCUGUGCUCGCUCCUUUUCCAGUCCCUCCUCCCUUUACUGCUCUGGGUCCCACUUCCCUUCAGUCUCUUUGCAGAGGUUACUAUUGCCUUAUUGCCUUCGGUGAACUUUGAUGCCCCUCCCCCUCUCCCUCCUCCCACCCAGCAUGCCCUGUGGCAUUGCUCUCAUCAGAGGGGACCAUGGCCCCAGAGUGCUCCCCUCUGUAGCUGUUCUGUGUCCUGC